UAGAUGCGAGAGUAGAGCAUAUCAAUAAGCGGAGGAAAAGAAACUAACAAGGAUUCCCUUAGUAACGGCGAGUGAAGCGGGAAGAGCUCAAAUUUGAAAUCUUCAAGGUUCUACCUUGACGAAUUGUAGUUUAUAGAAGUGUUUUCUGUUAGUGGAGUGGCAAAAGUUCUUUGGAAUAGGACAUCAUAGAGGGUGAGAAUCCCGUAUUUGGUCACUUCCUCCUAGCGUUGUGAUACACUUUCAACGAGUCGGAUUGUUUGGGAAUGCAGUCCAAAAUGGGUGGUAAAUUUCAUCUAAAGCUAAAUAUUGGCGAGAGACCGAUAGCGAACAAGUACCGUGAGGGAAAGAUGAAAAGAACUUUGAAAAGAGAGUUAAACAGUACGUGAAAUUGUCAAAAGGGAAGCGUUUGACACCAGUGUUGUUUUUCCGAAAAUCAAUUACGAAUGUUUUAUUUUUGAGGAGUUAUGACUUCAUCGGCUUGCUCCUUUCUUUAUGAAACUUUCUUAAUGCACUUUUCGGUUAACAAGUCAACAUCAAUUUCUUUUGUUGUAAAAGGGUAUGAGGAAGGUGGCUUUCUUUUCGGAGAAAGUGUUUAUAGCCUUGUGCCUCUGCAAUCGGAGAGAUUGAGGUCUGCAGCGUAGAUCCUUCGGGGUUAGAUACGUUUGUGCUAAGUUAUAGCUUUUCAUAGACAACUUGUUGACUAUGUUUAGUCUUGUAGCUUACUCGCUUACGCUAUUUUACCUACGCUUAGGAUGUUGACGAGACUGUCGAUCUC
rnacentral:rRNA from 1 species